rnacentral:tRNA from 2 species
CGGGGUAUAGCGCAGCCUGGUAGCGCACCUGCUUUGGGAGCAGGGAGUCGGGGGUUCAAAUCCCUCUACCCCGA